CCAUGCGCCACACUUUGCACACCAUAUUUCUUCACACACAAAUUUUAUUUGUGUGAGAUUUUUUUAAUACCAAAAAGCUCUUUUCCUUCUCUAUCUCACAUCCAAAUCUAAUUUGAUUUUGAUAAAAAAAAAUUUGAAAUUAGAUUUCAAAAUAUUUCUUAUCAAGAGAGUCUAUUCUUAUCCAAAUCACUCCACACGCCAUCCCUUU
rnacentral:lncRNA from 1 species